rnacentral:tRNA from 1 species
GGGGCCGUCGUCUAGCUUGGAAGGAUACCAGCCUGGGGCGCUGGCGGUCCUGGGUUCAAAUCCCAGCGGCCCCA